UGGCUUUGAUAGCGCUUUGUCAAUAAGAGAUAUCAUAUCGUGGUAGAACCCCUAUCCGUGCUUUUCCAACUCCCUCUAUGGUGUCAUCUACUGGCUGACUGCACACUGACUUCUGCCUGACUAUGGCUUUUAGAAAGCAAGAUCCCUCCGUUUAUCACUAUAUAGAAAGAACAUCCCAUACACAUACAGAGUAUUUAAACUAAGCUAUUCGAGCCUUCACCUAAGCUCUCAUCGAUAGAGCCAAUUUUUCUUUGAUUCUUGUAUACAAAUCUGGUAGUCAAUUGUUCUAGCAAGGAUGGACUAGUUGCCUACUCUCGCCUUACCCGACAUCCAUCAAGCAUCGAUCAUCGACUUGCUUUUCAAUCUAAGCGAUUUCAUAACCAGAAAGAAAGACCUCUCUUUCGGGAUCAGCCCCGUCCCUAGAUGUAGUAGGCAACCUUUCUUUCUUCUUCCAGCUUUUUCCAAAUAAAGGGCUAAUAGAGUUGCGCUUUCUUAGUACAUUGCCUUUCAUUACCAACCUGUCGUUUUACAGCACGAAGUUACCUGAUGUUCGCUACUACUAAAAAGGGCGGAGAGAUGUUAACCUUUCGCUAUUAGUAAGCACUCCCCUAGUUUUGACCUAAUGAGCUUUCUUUACGUUGAGUUAACCCGGCGGGUUCGCCUAGAUGUCUAGUAAAGAACGAGCUGGUGGGAAAGAGCUGGAGAUCAUGAAAAGCAUUUCCACACAAGGAGGCAGGCGGCCGGGAAGCUUUGCUUCUAGAAUGCCGACUACAUGGGAACAGAUGUUUUAUAGGUUUAUUCUAAUUCUUGCUGCCCGCUCGAUUUCGAGAUGUUCCCGAGAAGAAAGAGCUCGCGAGAAAGCUCGUCAGUGGAAAUUGUAAAAGGUCUCGAUUCCGAGGAAGGUGUAGUCGGGGUCGACCACN
rnacentral:lncRNA from 1 species